GCGGGAGGCUAAUACAUGCAAGUCGAACGGUAACAGGGUAGCAAUAUCGCUGACGAGUGGCGCACGGGUGAGUAACACGUACACAACCUGCCUUAUACUGGGGCAUAGCCUUGGGAAACUAAGAUUAAUUCCCCAUAACAUUAUGAAACGGCAUCGUUUUAUAAUUAAAAUUCCGAUGGUAUAAGAUGGGUGUGCGUCUGAUUAGCUAGUUGGCGGGGUAACAGCCCACCAAGGCAACGAUCAGUAGCUGGUCUGAGAGGAUGAUCAGCCACACGGGCACUGAGACACGGGCCCGACUCCUACGGGAGGCAGCAGUAGGGAAUAUUGGACAAUGGGCGCAAGCCUGAUCCAGCCAUCCCGCGUGAAGGAUUAAGGCCCUAUGGGUUGUAAACUUCUUUUCUCUGGGAAUAAAAAGUGGAGUUCACUCCGCCUUUGAAGGU
rnacentral:rRNA from 1 species